rnacentral:misc_RNA from 1 species
GUGAAUAGUAAAACACGCCAAAUGGGAAUACAAUAGGGGAAACUCCAUCAGUUUCUCCCUCAUAAAUAAAUUGAAUGAUUAAUUAAAAGGGCAAGAAAAAAAAAUUUAUUUAGGAAUAAAGUAAGAUAAGAUAGGAUGCUCCGGCACCAAAUGUGACAUGCCUUGCUCGGCUACACUGUAGAGGGGUGAGGAGUGUUACAAAUCAAUUUAUUGCAGAAACUUUUGGGAUAUUUCAGAAUAGUCAUAGAGUAUGUGGGAAUUACACUUAAACUAACUUGAUGAGCAUUUCCCUUCUUGCCUGAGACAAUAGCUUUUGUUUCCAAGAUUGAGUUUUUGCCUUCACUCUUUCUUUGAUAAAAUUCAAAGCUUGCACUUUUGAUCUUCCCCAAAAUAAUGGCAAUCCAAGACACUUGUCCUCAGCACUCAUCUACUUUAGGUUCAUCAUAGCUAGAUUAAACUGAGACUUAGUAUGCUUUCUACAACAAAUACAAGAUUUGUGAUAAUUGAUUCUUUGCCCUGUUGCCUCAGAAUAGCUAGAAAGAAUAUUGAGGAUUGCCCGAACUUCUCUACAGGCAGCUCUUUCCAAUAAGAGUGUCAUUUGCAAAUAAAACAUUAGUAAAAGUAAGAAUAUCUAGAAAGCUUCAUGUCUUUAAUGCUUUAUAUUUGCUAUUUUACACGAAUAAUCUAGCCCACUUUGUUAAUAUUAUUAUAUUUAUUAACUAAUAUCUACUUUUUUUUUUGAAAUGUUGGAAUUGUGAAGUUUAAAUCUCCACGCCAUGUACUAUGAGUUAGAUGCCCAAAUACUAUAAUACUAAUAAUACAUAUCUAUCAAUGAGAUUUAGCUUGGUGAUAUUAGAGUUGUCUCCAAUGUUGUGAAGUCUCAAAUUCAAAUACAAGUGGAAGCCAUUUAUAGCAUAAUACUAAUACGACUUUGCUUUGUCUUGGCUUGUCUUAGUUUCUUUACUUUCCUUGCAGAAUUUUCAUAAUCAUAUGAAAUAUGUCAAGGAAUCAGCAAUGACCAUACAAUUUUCGAACUCUCUAUUUUUAACUAGAUAUCUGCUGGCUCCAAUGAUCAUAAAUAAGAAAAAAGAAACAGAAUUUGAAAGGAAAAUUAUUCCAAAAUCAAGGGCCUUUCAAGUGUACAAGAAAGUAAAGUAAAGGUUGAAUUUGGUAACCAAAAAAUAGCAAAACUGAAAUUGGGUUUGUCCACUCCUUUUUAUUAUACAUGUAUUGAUUGCAGGACCAUUUGUUUCAUGAAAUAUCCAGUCAUCUUUGGAGUGGUCCUUGGUUGAUGUUGCUAGGAUGAGGCUUUUCUCUAGAAUUUUUGAUACUACAUAAUGGCUGUUGAUAGUGGGCAUUGAUGUGCUUAGUUUUGAUGCUAGUUUAUGCCAGGGACCUUAUUUAUUUGUUUAUGCUGAUUGGGUUUUCUUUAUGCUUUGGUUUUGAGCUAUUGUUGCAACGUUAUUUUCAUUUUUGUAGCUGAACUCUAUUUGAUCUUGGUUGUAUUUCCUUUUGUAAGGUUUUUGCACUUAGCAUGCUAAGUUUUAGGUUUGAGUGUAUCGGGUUGGUCGAUUGACCAGGGUGUAAUUGAACUUGUCUAUGCUAAGUUUUCCUAAUUUAUAUUAAUAAAUUGUUGCUAAAAAUAAGAGUUGUUAUGUGUUAAAUUAAGUUUGGCUUAAAGUUCAAUUACACCCCUGUACUUAUUGAAAAAGUUCAAUUUAGUUCUUUUUAAUUUUUUUCAGAAAUUUCAAUUUAAGUUUAAUUUAACCUAAAAAUUAAUAAAAUGAAAAAAUUGAGCCUUUUAUUUUUAAGUUUAAAUAAAGAAAUCAAGAAAUUUGACUCCAAAAUUAAGAAAUUAAAUUUCUUGAUUUUUAAUUCAAAUCAAGAAAUCAACAAAUUUAGCCCAACAAUUUUAAUUUUUGAGUUAAAUUGAG